GACAAAUGGGAAGGGAGAGUUUGGAGAAGGGAAACACUUAGAAGGCUGGACAUUGGCCCAGGGCUGUGUUCCAUCCUGGCUGCCCUGUGGAAGCCCUGAAGAAAUGGGACGUGGCCCUGUGGAAGCAGGCUGACUUGAAGAGCUGCUGAUGCUGGAGCCCGUCCUAGAGAGUCUGAUUCAAACUGUCUGAGUUAACUACAAUGAACGGCCACAGAUGAGAGCUACCAGACUGGGAGUUAGGGGACAACAAGGGGACAUCGGGCACACUGCUGCUCUAAACAAAAUAGAGGCUCUGCUGGGAAGGAAAAAAGGAAAAUAGGACUUCGGGCACAAACCCUCAACCUAUGGACAUGGUCCCCUUGAUUGUCAGCAUCUGACUCUGACUCUGCACAAGACCUGGGGGAAGCUGCACCAGGAGGGAUGGACAUGCUGCCCAGGAAACACUGGCGAGAGAGGGAGGAGGCUGGCAAAGGGACUGGCACUUGUCUUAAAUGAAGAAUGGCUGUGAAAAGGAGAGGAGCCAGCUUGUCAGAGAGAGCUGCACCUUUUCUUCUCAUCAGGAAUUCCUGUCAUGGGAGGACCCCCUGGAGCUGCUUGGAUAAAGACAGAGAGACACUUCAGCCGAGAUUCCAGUGAUCCGCGUUAUGCUAAUGACAGGAGUGACCGUGAAUGGCUUUCUGCUGUCCUGGCUAAUGGGGCUGCCUCAGGAGAGGAGCUGCUAGCCCAGGGAGGCUGGACUUUCAUCAGCCAGCUGCCCGCCUCCCUGCGCCCCAGGCUAUGGGACUAGAGCAGCCCUGCUCAGGGGCUCUGCUGCAUGUGUGUGCAUGCAUGUGUGUGUGUGUGUGCAUGUGUGUGUGUGCUUCCCUCCCCACCCGUUCCUUCUUGUCGUUCCCCAGCCCCACCCCUUCACCCCCGCCCCACCCCCUGCCCUUUAUCCUCUAGUGGUUUAGCUGAAGACAAUGCUGAGGCAAUUAAUAGUGCCCUUUGAGGACUUGUCACUAGGAAGCUCUUUAAUCCAGCCACCUGAGUUGGGGCCGCAGGCAUGUGACAGGGAUGGGGGGGUGCCAGGACUGUGUGGCAGCUGCUUGGGUGAGGCACAGGCACCGUGUAGAAACCAGGUUGGGAGGCCUAGCUUCCCUAGACACAUAGAUUAUGUGGACAUAGCAGGGGUCAUUGUUUUUCAUUGUAGUUUGUCUCUCACUAGAAUUUUGGUCUUGCUAGCCGGCUGCAGAACCAAGAUCUUAGAGGUGGGGUGCCAAGCAACACACCUGCCAACUACAGGGGCCAUCACAGGAAAAAUUUCCCCCAGCAUGUGGCACCUUAAAGAGGGGACAUCGUGUGGUGGAUGGCAUGUGUUAGGGUGCAGUGGGGCGGGCGGUAACCUCUCUCCUCAGCUCUUCCUACCCCAAAGCUGUGCUCCUGGGAGGCCUGGGGAGCUGGUGGGGAAGGAGUUCAGGUCCAGGUAAGAGCCACACCGGGGGAGGAGAAGACUAGGCAGAGGGAGGGCCCUGGGCCUCCAGGCCUGUCUCUGCCAUGUCUGAUUUCACAGUGUCUCUCACAGUCUCUCACACAACAACCAUCGUCUGUAGCCAGACCAUGCCGGGGCAGCAGGAGCCCUGAUGCCGAGGUGGACCCUGUCUACAAUUUUGUGUACUGUGUGUGUGUGGUGGGUGGGUGUCGGCUGUGUGUACUCUCGGGGCCUGCCCACCUGGCCUUCAUGAGUCGGGUAGUGGGGUCCCCACUGUCUCUCAAAACUGCUUUCCAUAAGCGAUGAACCUGGCUUCGGUCCUCGCCAGCUCCUCUGGUCGCCACUAGAGGGCAGCAGCCAACACAGCCCGGCAAGGGGAACUUUGGCGGCCGACUUCCGGCCGUACCGCCUCCUACUUCCACCUCCCCGCACCUUCCUAGCCCCUGGGGAUGUGCAGGUCCCCAGCGUGUGGGUGGACCACUGGGACCACAGAUCCUACUAAGGAUGUCCUUGGCCUCAGGCAUAGUGAAUGUGUAAGUCUGUUAGAAUGAGAAGGGGAGUGGGUGAAGACAGUGGAGGGGACCAGGGGUGGUCAAAGCCAGAACCCUGAGGUGUAUUCAUUUGUUCCUGCAAGGAUAAAGGCAGGGGAGAAGAGGAAAAGCCCGGGGGACCAGGCAGCCUGCAGGGAGAUGAGGCAGGACCCAGCCCACUGGCCAAAUGGCACCUGAUGACAAGGCAGGCAGAAUCACCCUAACUGCAAAGUCAGGUGACUCAACUCAGAAAGACCAGAGAAAACCAUGUGGACUCCGGAGCCAGCCUGCCCCGGUUUGACCCCUGGCUGCUUAAAAUAUUAGUGGUAUGACUUUGGACAAGAUAUUGAACCUCUCCGUGCCUUGGUUUCUUAGCUGUGAUGGAGACAGUAAUAGUAUCGCCUGUGCUAGAUGUGUGUAUUAAAUAGGUUAGUACAUACAAAUCACAUAGAGCAGUGUCUGACACAGAGAAAGAACACUAUAAAUGCUAGCAAUUAUUGCUUUCUGCACUUCAUCUCAGCCAAAAACCUGAAAAGAAAUUUGGUCUUUGUUUUCUGAAGCAGAGACACCUAUUAUGUUGAAAUAACUAGUUUCCCCUAGAACCCUCUCAUGAAAUAUACGGAGUUGGUCCUUCACCCUACAAACAUUAAAUGGUAACAUUUGUGUGUGGUUUUUUUUUCUCUCUUUUUCUUUUUUUUCCCUUGAGAUGGAGUUUCGCUCUUGUUGCCCAGGCUGUAGUGCAAUGGCGCGAUCUUGGCUCACCUCAACCUCUACCUCCUGGGUUCAAGUGAUUCUCCUGCCUCAGCCUCCCGAGUACCUGGGAUUACAGGCAUGCGCCACCAAGCCGGCUAAUUUUUUUAAUUUUUAGUAGAGACGGGGGUUUCUCCAUGUUGGUCAGGCUGGUCUCGAACUCCCGACCUCAGGUGAUCCACCCGCCUCGGCCUCUCAAAGUGCUGGUAUUACAGGAAUGAGCUAUCGUGCCCGGCCCUUGUGGGGUUUUUUGGAGACAAGGUCUCACUCUGUCACUCAGGCUGGAGGGCAGUGGUGCAAACAUGGCUUAUUGCAGGUUCAACCCCCUGGGCUCAAGGGAUCCUCCCACCUGCACCUCUCAAGUAGCUAGGACCACAAGUGUGUGCCACCAUGCCCAGCUAAUUUUUUUUAUUUCUUGUAGAGAUGGGGUCCCACUAUGUUUCCCAGGCUAGUCUUGAACUCCUGGGCUCAAGCAAUCCUCCUGCUUCAGUGCCCAAAUUGCUGGGAUUACAGAUGUGAGCCACCAUGCCCGGCCACCUGUCAAUAUUUAAAUCAACAAACUGGUCAGUCACCUUUGAACCUCCAAACCCUUUCACUCUUGAAAUGAGUCCCUUGAAUUGAGUGUGGGGACCUGCUAUCCUUCCUUCCCUCCUUCAGGCAAGGCCUGGGUUUGCUCCCCUUGUAACUCCUUCCCCAAACACAGCCUAAGGAUCCUCCCUGAGCCCCGCCCUGUCCUGUUGGGUCAGGUGGACCUGACUUCUCACCACUCUCAGGAAAUGGUGGCCUCUCUCUUCCUGCCAUCGGAGGAAAUUUGAAUCCUCAGCCUUACCUCUCUCAGGCUACUUUUGGCUUUAAAACUGUGGGAAGUGAAAGUGCCCAGCCCUGGAAAAACAAGGCUGGUUCAAAGGUGAAAGCACUUAACCUUUUGGGGCCUCCAGUUUCCCUUAUCUACAAUUCUGGAGAGGGAUGGGGGAUAUUUUUAUAGUUUCCUCCUUCCCUGGGAAGAUGUUUAGGGAAAAAAAAAUACCAAUUGAGACUUUACUGGUUGGGUGUGGUGUCUCAUGCUUGUAAUCCCAGCACUUUGGGAGGCUGAGGCAGGUGGAUCACUUGAGGCCAGCCUGGCCAUCAUGACAAAACUCCAUCUCUACAAAAAUAUAAAAAUUAUCUGGGCAUGGUGGUGAAUGCCUGUAAUACCAGCUGCUUGGGAGGCUGAGGCAGGAGAAUUGCUUGAACCCGGGAAGCGGAGGUUGCAGUGAGCUGAGAUUGUGCCACUGCACUCCAGCCUGGGCAACAGAGCAAGACUCCAUGUCAAAUAAGUAAAUAAAUGAGAGAGACAGAGAGAGAGAGAGAGAGUGAGAGAGAGAUACUUUACUGUGCCGUUACUCACUGAUGCUUCCGUGUCUCCAAUACAAACUCCUCAAUAGAAAAGAUCUGGACAUGAAGCUCCCCUAUUGGAACAAUCAGGGAUGACCAAGUCCCAUGACCUAAGGUUAGCAAACUUACCAGUAAGGCACAACUCAAUGGUUUUUCCUCACAUAGGGACUGGGUAACAACAGGAAAUUGGAGACAUCCUAGCAGGCCCAUCAUAUUAUGAACAUUUUAAUUGUAAACUUCAUUUAUGAAUAGGUAACACCUUUCCAUAUCUUUACAUAGUUCAAUAUUUUAAGGAUAUAAAAAGACAUACAGUGGGAAUGCUGUUUCCUACUCUGAAACCCCACCCCUUCUCUUCCUAGGAAGCAAGCAAUAUUACUGUUUUCUAACGUAUCCUUCCAGAGAUAUUUUAUAGAAAGAAAUGUGUAGCCUGGGUGACGUGGCUCAUGCCUGUAUUACCAAAGUACUACUUUGGGAGGCUGUGGCAGGAGGAUUGCUUGAGCCCAGGAGUUCAAGACCAGCCUGGACAGCAUAAUGAGACCUCAUCUGUACAAAAAAUAAAAAUAAAAAAAUCAGCCAGGUGUUAUGGCAUGCACUUGUAGUCCCAGCUACUUGAGAGGCUGAAGUGGGAGGAUGUCUUGAGCCCUGUGGGUUGAGGGUGCAGUGACGCGAUCUCGGCUCACUGCAAGCUCCGCCUCCCGGGUUCACGCCAUUCUCCUGCCUCAGCCUCCUGAGUAGCUGGGACUACAGGCGCCCGCCACCAUGCCCGGCUAAUUUUUUUUUUUGUAUUUUUUAGUGGAGACAGAGUUUCACCGUGUUAGCCAGGAUGGUCUCAAUCUCCUGACCUCGUGAUCCUCCCGCCUCGGCCUCCCAAAGUGCUGGGAUUACAGGCGUGAGCCACCGCGCCCGGCAACUGCAAUUUUUUUUUUUUUUGAGACAAGUUUUCAUUCUGUCAUCCCAGCUGGAAUGCAGUGGCCCAAUCAUAGCUCACUGCAGCCGCCAUCUCCUGGACUCAAGUAAUCCUCCUGCCUCAGCCCAGAGUAACUGCGACUACAGGUACGCACCACCAUGCCUGGCCAUUUUAAAAUUUUUCUUUGCCCAGGCUGGUCUUGAACUCCUGGCCUCAAGUGAUCCUCCUACCUCAGCCUCCCAAAGUACUGGGAUUACAGGCAUGAGCCACUGUGCCCAGCCUGCUUUGUAAUCUUUUUUUUUUUUUUUUUCUUGAGACGGAGUCUCGCUCUGUCGCCCAGGCUGGAGUGCAGUGGCGCAAUCUCGGCUCACUGCAACUUCUGCCUCCCGGGUUCACGCUCUUCUCCUGCCUCAGUUUCUUGAGUAGCUGGGACUACAGGCGCCCGCCACCAAGCCCGGCUAAUUUUUUGUAUUUUUAGUAGAGACUGGGUUUCACCGUGUUAGCCAGGAUGGGCUUUGUAAUCUUAUGUAUUUUGUUGGGGGGAGGGGGAAGCUAUGCAUAACAUAAAAUUGACCGUUUUAACCAUUUUACAAUUCUGUAACACUGUAUACAAUUCAGUGACAUUAAGCACAUUCACACUGUUGUGAUGCCAUCAGCACCAUCCAUCUUCCCAAACUGAAACCCUGUAUCCAUUAAAAAGUAACUCCCCAUUCUUUGUCCCCCAGACCCUGGCAAGCACCAUUUAACUUUCUGCCCAUGAUUUUGACUACUCUGGGUACCUCAUAUGAGGGGAAUCAUACAAUGUGUGUCCUUCCCUAUUUGGCUUAUUUCACUUAGCAUCAUGCCUUCAAGGUUCAUUGAUGUUGUAGCAUGUGUCAGAAUUUCACUUCAUUUUAAGGCUAGAUAAUAUUCCAUUGUAUGUUUAUAGCACUUUAUGUCUAUCUUUUCGUCAACCGAUGGACAUUUGGGUUGCUUCCCUCUUCUGACCAUUGUGAAUAAUGCUAUGAAUAUUGGUAUACAAAUGUCUCUGCUUUCUCAGUUCUUUUGGGUAUAUACCCAGAAGUAGAAUUGCUAAAUCAUACGGUAAUUGUUUUUUUUAGGAAUACGUAUUUUUAUGCAGGAAAAAUAUGAUUCUGAAAUAAGCCUACUAGACUCUUGUUCUACAUACUUUAUUUUGCAUGCCUGUCUCCGCCACUAGAUGGGAGACUUGUUGACAAGGACUAACCGGUUCCAGGUGCCCCUCAGGAACCCUCCC
rnacentral:lncRNA from 1 species